UACAGAGGGUGCAAACGUUGCUCGGAAUUAUUGGGCGUAAAGCGCGUGUAGGCGGCUUGUUAAGUCGGUUGUGAAAACCCAUGGCUCAACCAUGGAAGGGCGUCCGAAACUGGCAAGCUAGAGUCCCGACGAGGAUGGCGGAAUUCCCAGUGUAGAGGUGAAAUUCGUAGAUAUCCGGAGGAACACCGGUGGCGAAGGCGGCUUCCUGGACCGACACUGACGCUGAGGCGCGAAAGCUAGGGGAGCAAACGGG
rnacentral:rRNA from 1 species